GCCCACAGAGAGAAGGAGAAAGCUGACUGUUUAAAAGAGCAUAAAGAAAGGGGGGGGGGAAGAAAAACUUCAAUGGGAAAGUAGAGAAGGAAGAAAAUUUAAAAAACAAUAAAUCACAGGGCAGGAGAAAGAAGAGAAGAAAUUAGAAACAGUAUGAUGAUCCUUAGAAAUAUUGCAGCAAAGUUGGGACUAUUCAUCAUAACUCUAUAAAACCUGAAGAAGUAACAUAUUGGUGCCUGCAUGAAACUCUGGUUUUGAAAUCUACAGAGAAGCCAACAGCGACCCUGACUUCAUUCCAGUAUAAGAGAACAAAUUACCCUCUAACCAGAUGUCCAGAUCCCAGCUGAGGACAACCAAAAGCAACAGCCAGAUACUUCCUAUUUUACAACAAAAAUAAAUAAGAUCAUCUUUCUACAUUAGGGCAACUUCAGAGUUAUCCAAGUUGACUUGUUGCUCUGACUCCCUGAAGUGAUUCUACAUUGCUCCCUGAUUGGCAGGGAACCUAGGAGUAGAAGUUGCUACUGCGUGUACAGAACUCUUCAAAAGCCAUUCAUAGAAAACUGAACCCACUGAAUUUUUGGCCUACCCAUAUCUGCCUCAAUGCAUGUAGAUCCACUUGAGUGUCCACACAGAAUAACUUUGGCUACUAUGGAUACCCAUAAAGAAACUGGAUCCAAUGAGAAUUCAUCUUUAUGGAGCCAUCUUACCAAUCUAGAAAGGGAUGAAGAACUAUUUCCAUUUGGAGUGAUUUAACUGAUGUGGUAAAAUUAAAUCUUCUGAGCAUUCUCCAAGCCAAUGGAACUUUGCUGACCAUAUGAUCUAUACAUAGUUUUCUUUGGAUGGCCUUUAGUAACCCAGUGCUCCAGAGACUCAUCAAAUUUUCUGCUUAAACUUCUGCAACCAAUUCAGUUUCCUGGUAGUGAAAGCCAUCAUACUAUCUGCUCCUCCCUGUGAAGGAAAUCACAUUAUGGAGAGCAAUAAUGGAAUAAGACUUUCACUUUCCUCCCAUCAAUUCCCAAGGUUCAUCUGCAAGUUCAUUCGUAAUCUCAUAUCUUAAAGCAAAGUGACACAUCUUCCAGCAAAACCUUUGGGUCAGAGACUUACUUGCUCCUUGUGAUAUUUUAUCUUGCUCCUUGUGAUUUUCAACUUCACCAGAAUCCCUAUUCACUUGUGCUAUUAUCAGAUUAUUAUUAUAUUACCCCUUGGUUUUUAUUUUCUUGUCCUGAAUUGAAAGUUCUCUCUAAUUCCUGAAUGUGCCAGACAAUAUUCUUAUUUUUAGCCUAUAUUAUAAUGCCUGGGGCUCAUUAUUCCAACUUCUACUUCUACUAAUGAGUCAAGUGCCCACAGAAGGGUUCUUUCUUUUUGAGAAUUUCUAUGGUUCUCUAGAGGUACCCCUAAAGGGUUAUGAUAGGAUUUUAUAAUGCCAUUGUCUCAAACCCCGAAUGGUGUGCUUUCCACCAUUAAUACCAGUUGAGAAUCAUUUAAGGAGAUGUAAAAGCAUUGCCUUUCAGGAGUGAGGUCCUGGUUGAGGUUCUGUAAAAGUGAACUCCAUUACGAGUUUCAUGAUUUUGUCCAGUUUCAUUCAUUAGCAUGUGUAUAGUAAAGGCAGCAAAUGGUGGAAGUGGUCUUUGGUGAAGUGUGAAGUUUGGCAAGGCAAGAACAGAGAUAGGAUAAGGAGUGAGGAACUUAAGAGAAGAGGAACUGAUUUCACCAAGAGGUCAAAAUGGGGAAAGCAGGAAAGUAUAUUUUAUGUAUGAUAAUGGCCUAGAAAGGAUCCAAAGAUGCUAGGGACUAGAGGUUACAUUGUGGAUGAGGGACAAGGUUUGAGGUUACAACCAGAAAAUAAAAAUAAAAUGGCAAUAUAUUGUGAUCAGAUGAGAACAUUUCAGAGUUUAUUAAUAUGAAAAUGGAUCAUUGUGAUGGUAAAAUCAAAGACACGGCCCUCUGUGGCCAAGUUGGGGUGGAGACUAAAUCACACGAAAUUAGUAAGAUGAAGAACCAUGAGGUCCUUAUAUCUAAGGGAAUUAUCAAUAUAUUGAGGAGAGAAAAACUGUGGGAUAGGUACUGAAUUCAUUGAGGAAAGAUGGGGAGAGUGCCCUAGAGGUCAAUAAACAACAACUGAAGUUUUGAUUGGAUUGAUGACUGUGGACUGAGUAAACCUCAAAGCUGAGUAAUAUCGGUAGAGGGAGAAGUUGUAGAUAUCAAUGAAAAACCAGAAGUAUUCCAAUUUCCACACCAUGAUCAGGGACUUGGGGAGAAAGAGAAAGGAAUAUAUGAGUGAAAGUAUAGCCAGUGCUAGAAAGUGUUUUCAGGAAGGCUAUGUCAUCCAGACAGAAUCAUAUUUCAAUGAAAGAAUUUAAGGAAAGGAUUUAAGAUGAAAGAAAGUUUGUUAUUUGUGGAGCAGCCAUUUUAGAGAGCACAGUGGACAGAGUACAUAACUUUAUUUUAUUUAUUCAUUCAUUUGUUUGUUUAUUUAUUUUUAAAAUCCUUACCCUCCUCUUUAGAAUCAAUGGUUCCAAGGCAGAAGAGUGGUAAAAGGGCUAGGCAUUGUUAAGUGACUUGCCCAAGGUCACAGAGCUAGUAAGUGUCUGAGGUCAAGUUUGAACCUAGGACCUCCCUGCUCUAGGCCUGGCUCUCAAUCUACUGAGAUACCCAUCUGUCUCCUAGAGUAGAUAACUUUCAAAUGUGAUAGAGGUAGUUAGGAUGAGGGAUACCAUAAGAGAUUGGACAUUGGUGGACAGAGAAUGGAGUUUUAAUUACUACAACCUGGAGGUCAAAACCACUAGAAUGGGGAGGGAAUGACCAGAGAGAAUUUUGUUCAUCAUUGAAGAAAUUUGAGUUCAGGUAGGUUUUCCAUUGGCAAUAGUAUUGACUUUAUGGUCAAGUUCUCUAAUGGUCUUGGGCAGGUCAGGGACCAAGUUUUGGAAGUUGAAGGAAUGGUAUUUUACUUUUCCCAGUCUAGGAAACCAGGCUGGAUACCUAGUAGAAUGGCCUUUCUCUUCUUCUUCCUUAGAAAGGGCAAGUCUGGUGCUUAAAAGAAUGGUAUUUCUCCCCUUAGAGGAGGAGACAAGAUCCCUCCCCCUUUUCCUCAUUGGCAAGAAAGUGAUGAAUAAUUAUAACAAUAACAAUAAUAAUAAACAGCAUUUAUAAAAUGUCUUGAGUUUUAGAAAAUUCUUUACAACUAUCAUCUCAUUUGUUCCUCAAAACAAUUCUUAGAGGUGGAUGCUGUUAUUAUCCUUAUCUUGCAGAUGGGGAUAUGAGACAAACAGAGGUUUUAGUACUUUGCCCAGGGUAUUCUAUCCACUGAAUCAUGAGAAUGAUUAGCUUGGCAUAAAAGAAACAAAACUUCCUCCAAGCAACAAUUUUUUUAAAAAUAGAAAGGACCAUUAUGAAGCCAGUGAUUCCACAAGUCAACAAGAAAUAUUAAAACAAAGACAAAAGACUUUUAAAAGCAUGAAAAUAUAGGGGAUCUCAUAGCAAAAAACCCAACUCUCCUAAAAAUAGAUAAAUGACAAAAAAAGACCCAACUAUUUCUAGAAAUCUUUACUUAAGAAGUCUCUUAGAACCUGAGGGCAAAGUGGAAAUAGAAAUUUACCAACCAUCUCUCAAAGACAAUCUCGAAAAGAAAACUCCUAGCAAUAUCACAACCAAAAUUCAGAGAUUCUAAAGAAGAAAUACUUUAAGCAACCAAAAGAAAGGAUUCAAAUACUAGGGAACCAUAAUCAGGUUCACACAUAAUCAUAACAUGAGGAAUAGAGGAUCUAUUUGAUAUUCCAGAAGGCAAGGAUAUAGACUUACUAUCAAAAAUAAUUUAUUCAGCAAAGCUGAAUAGAAUGUUAUUAGUUGGAGGAAAGGACUUUAAUGAAAUAGAAGACUUCCAAGAAUGCUCAGUGAAAAAACUGGAGCUGUGUAGAAAUUUUGAAGUUCAAAGAGAAACAAAAAUUAAACACAAAUGAACAGUGAUAAAAGACUAAAGGAUAAAAUACAUUCUAAUAUGGAGAGAUGAUACAUGUAUCCCUAUUGAACCUUAUCACUAUCAAGAGUCAGAGAGGAAGUCUAAGUAGAUAAGGCCUGGGAGCAUUUUUGUUAUGUCUUGAUGAUCUUAAGAGACAAAUGGAAAAGGAAAGAAAGAGCAAUGGAAUGAAGGGAAGAGAAAUGAAAGGUAGGCAAAGUUAUCUCACAUCAGAAAGCACAAGAAGACAUUUAUGCAAACAAGGAAGAAGGUGACACUCUGGCCAAUGGAAGAAAACACACACACACACACACAUAUUUAAUUCCACAGGGAAAAAGAAGGUAAGAGGUGGGGAGGGGGAAUUAAAGGGAAGGGAAAUUAAGGGAGGAAGCAGUCUUAAGGAAAAUAAAUUUGGGUAGCUAAGGUACAAAAUUAUUGAUAAAUUUUUAAGAUAGCAAAGAAUCAGAUUCUGAGAGUUUUCAUCAACUAGAGAAAAGCUAAACAAACUAUAUAGUAUAUAAAUGUUAUAGAAUAGUUGUGCUGAUAAAAAUGAUAAAGGGAAUGUUUUCAGAGAAAUCCAUGAAAAAUUGUAUGAACUAAGGAAGAGUUGAAUGAAAAGCACCAGGAGAACAAUUUAUAAAAUGACAAUAUUGCAAAGACAAAAUAUUUGAAGACUUAAGAAUUCUGAUCACUAUAAUGAUCAACCACAAUUCCAGAGGACUAAGGAUGAAACAUGCCAUCCAACUCCUGACAGAGAGGUGGAAGACAAAGACACACAUACAUAUGUAUACUUUAAGCAACUAAAAGAAAGAAUUCACGUACCAGGGAACCAGUUAGGGUGAAUCAUGAUUUAGCAGCUACCACUAUUAAGAUAUACCUGUGUGUGUGCAUAUGUGUAUUUAUAGAUAUAUGUGUAUUUAGGGGUAUAGAUAUAUCAAUAGAUAUAUUAUAUACAUAUACAUUUAUUUCUUUGAAUAUAAAUCUUUUGAUUUAUGACAAGCCAUGGUCAUGGCCAAUGCAAAAAUCUGUAUUUCAUAUUAGUAAUUGGUUUUGUUUUUCUUUUGUUCUCAAUUGGUGAGGAGAGAGAAGAUAGACAUUUUGUUAAUGAAAAAAAUAACAUUUAAUUGCAAAUAAAACUUUUUAAAAAGAAAACUAUAUCUUGAUCCCCUAUUGGGGAAUGGUUUUCAGGCUUACAUAUUUGAAUCAAUCUCAUUUCUUGGAUAUAAGACUUUUAUCAGAGAAACUUGCUUCAGAAGCUUUUCCCUAGAUAUCAUCAAAGAACUUCAGAAGGCUUCUAAUAUAAAUAAAUCUGAUAAAUCUGUCUUUCCAAUGAUUUUAUGUUAAAUGAGUCUUGAAUAAAAUAGAUUUUAAACCACAAAAUUAUCACACUUCAUAAAGUCUUAUCUUUUUGAAGGUAGCAUUGAUAUGGGUAGAAAAUAUAGGGAUAGUGAAUUAAACUAUAAAAUAGGUGAAGCUUUAUAGGAAAUUGAUGGUGAAAAUCAGUUGUAAAUUCAGUAUAUUUGACAGGAGUUAACAGUCAUCUUUUAAAAGCAAUUUGGAAUUGGAAUUUGUCCUCAGUUCUUACUUGUAACUAAUUUUUCCCAGUGUUAACCUGAAUUCCAAAAUUCAUUAGUAUAGGACGUUCUCAUUGGUAGAAAGCAAUGCCUUGCACCUAUGUAAGGGGUAAAGCGAAGUUAACAAGAGCAAGACACAGAAGUUCACUUUCUCUGGGGUCCAUGGUGGAUUCAGGCACUCCUAGAUUCCAGCUUCAAAAGAUGGAAGAUGCAAUCCCACUUCAGGUUGUUGAAGGAAAAGACUCUAGGAGGAAGACAAUAUGAGAGGAGCCAGCAGCCUUCAUCAUGUCCCUAUAUGCAGUUUGCUAUACUAGAAAGAUUUCAGGAAUGGUGAAUGGAGCCAGAGGGGAGUAGAAUGACACUCACCAACCAGCAGCAAUAAAUCAUCAAUAUGGCAUUGAGUGAAGUGACAGCAGAACUGGUGGACAUAGGAGUAGCAACAUCCAUAGUAAUCUUCAAUCUUGACCAAGCAUCAUUAUUGUUCAUGGAAAGCAGAAAGCGAACUGAAGUAAAUUAUUAAAUACUAGCACAUAUGUGUCUAUGAAUGCAUACACAAACAUUCACAAAAUAUGUACCUAGAUAAUGGCUCUAUAAUGUCAAAUAAAAAGAAUGAACCUAA